UCUUCCUCGUUGCAUUCCUUUCUCUGCCGCUCGCGUCGCGGUCGCCAUCGAGGGCCUGCCGCCCCGCGUCGCCGCUUCCCUAUCGAGCUAGCGCGUCACGCCGUUGGGAGGAGGCCAGGCAGAGCGACGGGAGGUGGCCAAGCGGAGCGAGACAGGGGCCACCCAUCCUCCUCCUGUCCCGGCUCUCCUCCUCCCCGCAUAUCGGUUGCGCCGCUGCUCUCCCAUCGAUCUCGCGUGCCGCCAUCACCAGGAGGAGUGAGUGGAUUGAGGACCUGCCAUUCUCGCCAUUGCUUCCCCGUCGAGCUCGCGCAUCACAUCAACGGGAGGAGAGGCUGCCGCUGCUCUACCCAGAGGAGCGCGCUGUCGACAAGAGGAGUCAAGGCGGAGGUCGCCGCUCCACCGUCGCCACCAGCUAUGCUCUGGGUGACGAAAAUAUACCUCUGGGUGACGCUAACUGGUUCCAGUGGCUCGGCCCAGCCCUGCACCGCAGGAAGAAUAGGAAGCGGGGAGGGAGGAAGGGAAGGAAGACGAGAUCGUGGCCGGCACGCUGCGUCCAUUCAUCCAGGUACUGAUUGGUGUCACGGCUAAGGUUGGCUGGGUGUUUUUUGGGUGUUCAGGUCUCAGAAAUGCUGCUUAGAGGAAGCUCCUCGAUGAGCUAGGCAUCCCAGCUUGAUGAUGUGCCCAGCGACCGGUUCACCGCUCUUGGCUGGAUGCUUUACAGGGCGCAGGCCGUAGAGGCGGAAGAGGAGGUUGAGACAUCCGCGUCGCUUGCUGCAGCGACCACGACCGAUGCAUCGAAAGAGAGGGGCCUAGAGGUCUUGCUCCGACCCCACAGAGGGCAUGCCAAUGGCCGGAGUAUAGGAGGAGGCCCAGGCAGAGCGCGCCAUCUCCAUCGACUGCCAUUUAUUUUAAGUGACGCUUCAUGCCUCGUACGAUAAAUUGCUAAAACAACCAACAUAUAGACGUUUUACUGAAGUGGAUGUCGUCGUGCCACAACUAUGCGUUGGAUCUCAAGGCUGGCUGGGCGUCCACAUCGUCCACUGCAGGGUCGAGGUCAGGGGUCUCAAGAUGAAUGUAUCUCUUCUGUUUAUGCUUGCAAUUCUUUCCUUCUCUACAUUGCACUCCAAUUGUUUCCUUUGCUCAUUUAUUCUCAUAUAGAUGCUUUGCGCUUAAGUGCCUAUAACAAACUAUGUCACCAUUUCCUGCUAUUUAAGUAUGAUUAUGCCAGAUGUGAGCAUUUACCAUGUACUGUAAUAUCUAAUGAUUCAAUCAAUGUAAGAUGAAGAUUUCCAGAAAAUAUCAAGUAUUGGGAGAUGCAUAUUUAGGCCUGGAACUAUCUUGCCAAAACUUCUAUACAUAUAGCGACCUCUUCGUUUUUUUCCUGCUUCUAGGUGUUGGUGCUGGUUCUGACUUAUUUACGAUCACAUUUAUAAAGUGCUACUCUCCUUCAUCUCAUGUUUCUAUCCUAAUCCAACUAACUGGUUGUGUUGUGGACGGCAUCACCAUAACCAUAUCGAUGGUCCAAGCCCCUUUCUCGUGUUUUUUGUUUCUUAACCUACAGGCUGUUGUGCUCGAGUUGAUGAGGCAUCCUCGCAUAAAUGGAUUGAGAGUCAAAGCGCCAGAGGCUGGAAGAAAGGCAUUUCCAAAAUUGAACUGACAAAUGCUGACAUACGCAAGCCUCUGUUCCUAGAUGAUAUCUCUAAGUGCACUAAGGAAGACGCCAUCAUCUUAUGAGGCAGUGGCCAAUAAGAUCAAGAAAUCCAAGCGAGUAGGCCGUAUGUUGUGAAGUGGUCGCCCUUGUGGACUUGAUACCUCAGCCACAAGGAGAAGAUGAUGCCCUUUUUAUUUAGCAGCAGACUUUGUUAAGAUAUUGUACUUAGGUUAAUGCCUUUAUAAGGAUGUUCUAAAUUAGUGCAAAUAUGUAGCUGUCCUGCCCUUACUUUACAUUAUGUGUCGUUAGAAGUAUGAGUUAGUGCACUAGGUGGACAAUAUUAGACAAUGUGUAUCUGUAAGACUGCUAACCCUUGGCUAUUGUAAUCUAAGUAGAUUUGCUCAUUA